GGGCGAUCCGGGGAGCUUUACACAUGCAAGUCGACGGCAGCACGAGAGAGCUUGCUCUCUUGGUGGCGAGUGGCGGACGGGUGAGUAAUAUAUCGGAACGUGCCCAGUAGCGGGGGAUAACUACUCGAAAGAGUGGCUAAUACCGCAUACGCCCUACGGGGGAAAGGGGGGGAUUCUUCGGAACCUCUCACUAUUGGAGCGGCCGAUAUCGGAUUAGCUAGUUGGUGGGGUAAAGGCUCACCAAGGCAACGAUCCGUAGCUGGUUUGAGAGGACGACCAGCCACACUGGGACUGAGACACGGCCCAGACUCCUACGGGAGGCAGCAGUGGGGAAUUUUGGACAAUGGGGGAAACCCUGAUCCAGCCAUCCCGCGUGUAUGAUGAAGGCCUUCGGGUUGUAAAGUACUUUUGGCAGAGAAGAAAAGGUAUCUCCUAAUACGAGAUACUGCUGACGGUAUCUGCAGAAUAAGCACCGGCUAACUCCGUGCCAGGCAGCCGCU
rnacentral:rRNA from 1 species